rnacentral:rRNA from 1 species
CUGCCUUUGAGAAGGGGAUAACUGCCCGAAAGGAUAGCUAAUACCCUAUAUUGCCUUUUGUCACUAAGGCAAAAGGUGAAAGCGAGGCUGUCAAAGGCUUCGGCUCAAAGAGGGGUUCGCGUCCUAUCAGGUAGUUGGUGGGGUAAUGGCCUACCAAGCCAAUGACGGGUAGCUGGUCUUAGAGGAUGAUCAGCCACAGUGGGACUGAGACACGGCCCGCACCCCUACGGGGGGCAGCAGUGGGGAAUCGUGGGCAAUGGGCGCAAGCCUGACCCCGCAAUGCCGCGUGAGGGAAGAAGCCCUUCGGGGUGUAAACCUCUGUCAGAUGGGAAGAGGGGACUAGGGGCUAAUACCUCCUGGUCUUGACGGUACCAUCAGAGGAAGGGACGGCUAACUACGUGCCAGCAGCCGCGGUAAUACGUAGGUCCCGAGCGUUGCGCGAUGUUACUGGGCGUAAAGCGUCCGUAGCUGGUUUCGUAAGCGGAUUGUCAAAGCCCGAAGCCCAACUUCGGCAAGGCAUUCCGAACUGCGUUACUUGAGUCCUGUUCAGGUAGGCGGAAUUCCCAGUGUAGCGGUGAAAUGCGUAGAUAUCGGGAGGAACACCAGUGGCGAAGGCGGCCUACUGGGACGGUACUGACGGUCAUGGACGAAAGCUGGGGGAGCAAACCGGAUUAGAUACCCGGGUAGUCCCAGCCGUAAACGAUGGAUGUUAGGUGUAGUGAUAACUUCGCUGCACCCCAGCUAACGCGUUAAACAUCCCGCCUGGGGAGUACGGGCGCAAGCCUGAAACUCAAAGGAAUUGGCGGGGGCCCGCACAACCGGUGGAGCGUCUGGUUUAAUUCGAUGCUAACCGAAAAACCUUACCAGGGUUUGAAAUGGUAGGAAAGGCUGUCGAAAGAUAGCCGUGUUUCCCUUUUGGGAGAAAUCCUACCACAGGUGGUGCAUGGCCGUCGUCAGCUCGUGUUGUGAGAUGUUGGGUUAAGUCCCGCAACGAGCGCAACCCUUGUCCUUAUUUGCUUCCUCUUAUGAGGUGCUCUAUAAGGAGACUGCCGGCGACAAGCCGGAGGAAGGAGGGGACGACGUCAGGUCAGUAUGCCCUUUAUGCUCUGGGCUACACAGGCGCUACAGUGGCAAGGACAAUGAGCAGCGAGAGCGC